rnacentral:lncRNA from 12 species
UUAUUAUAACUAUCCCUUAGUUAUGGGAGCGUAUAUGGAACUUCUAAAAAUUUACUAAAUGUGAUUGUGAAAUCCUUGGUGGCUAAAAUCCUACAACACAAAUUAUUCAGGAAACCAAGCGCUGGCAGGCAGAUGGAGGGGCAUCAGCGGGAAGGAGGAGGGAGAGUGGUGUCCUGAGGUGAAGUCCUGCAGACCAUCCUGCAGACCCGGCCCUGGAGAUGCCUCAGCUCUGGUGAUGACCACCCCAGCCCUGGAUUGUCCCUCCUGUGCUUUUGGUGCUUGCCCUGAAGGAGGAAGCAGCCGCUGAUCUGCACAUUCUGUGCAUGGUGCCUCUGGAGAUGGAAAGAUGAGAU